CCAGGGAAGAAGCGAAAGUGACGGUACCUGCAGAAAAAGCGCCGGCUAACUACGUGCCAGCAGCCGCGGUAAUACGUAGGGCGCAAGCGUUAUCCGGAAUUAUUGGGCGUAAAGAGCUCGUAGGCGGUUUGUCGCGUCUGCUGUGAAAUCCGGAGGCUCAACCUCCGGCCUGCAGUGGGUACGGGCAGACUAGAGUGCGGUAGGGGAGAUUGGAAUUCCUGGUGUAGCGGUGGAAUGCGCAGAUAUCAGGAGGAACACCGAUGGCGAAGGCAGAUCUCUGGGCCGUAACUGACGCUGAGGAGCGAAAGGGUGGGGAGCAAACAGGCUUAGAUACCCUGGUAGUCCACCCCGUAAACGUUGGGAACUAGUUGUGGGGUCCAUUCCACGGAUUCCGUGACGCAGCUAACGCAUUAAGUUCCCCGCCUGGGGAGUACGGCCGCAAGGCUAAAACUCAAAGGAAUUGACGGGGACCCGCACAAGCGGCGGAGCAUGCGGAUUAAUUCGAUGCAACGCGAAGAACCUUACCAAGGCUUGACAUAUACGAGAACGGGCCAGAAAUGGUCAACUCUUUGGACACUCGUAAACAGGUGGUGCAUGGUUGUCGUCAGCUCGUGUCGUGAGAUGUUGGGUUAAGUCCCGCAACGAGCGCAACCCUCGUUCUAUGUUGCCAGCACGUAAUGGUGGGAACUCAUGGGAUACUGCCGGGGUCAACUCGGAGGAAGGUGGGGAUGACGUCAAAUCAUCAUGCCCCUUAUGUCUUGGGCUUCACGCAUGCUACAAUGGCCGGUACAAAGGGCUGCAAUACCGCGAGGUGGAGCGAAUCCCAAAAAGCCGGUCCCAGUUCGGAUUGAGGUCUGCAACUCGACCUCAUGAAGUCGGAGUCGCUAGUAAUCGCAGAUCAGCAACGCUGCGGUGAAUACGUUCCCGGGUCUUGUACACACCGCCCGUCAAGUCAUGAAAGUCGGUAACACCUGAAGCCGGUGGCCUAACCCUUGUGGAGGGAGCCGU
rnacentral:rRNA from 1 species